CAGUAGCCGCGGUAAUACAGAGGGUGCGAGCGUUAAUCGGAUUUACUGGGCGUAAAGCGUGCGUAGGCGGCUUUUUAAGUCGGAUGUGAAAUCCCUGAGCUUAACUUAGGAAUUGCAUUCGAUACUGGGAAGCUAGAGUAUGGGAGAGGAUGGUAGAAUUCCAGGUGUAGCGGUGAAAUGCGUAGAGAUCUGGAGGAAUACCGAUGGCGAAGGCAGCCAUCUGGCCUAAUACUGACGCUGAGGUACGAAAGCAUGGGGAGCAAACAGGAUUAGAGACCCCAGUAGUCCCUGUCUCUUAUAA
rnacentral:rRNA from 1 species